GGUUAAGCGACUAAGCGUACACGGUGGAUGCCCUGGCAGUCAGAGGCGAUGAAGGACGUGCUAAUCUGCGAUAAGCGUCGGUGAGGUGAUAUGAACCGUUAUAACCGGCGAUUUCCGAAUGGGGAAACCCAGUGUGUUUCGACACACUAUCAUUAACUGAAUCCAUAGGUUAAUGAGGCGAACCGGGGGAACUGAAACAUCUAAGUACCCCGAGGAAAAGAAAUCAACCGAGAUUCCCCCAGUAGCGGCGAGCGAACGGGGAGGAGCCCAGAGCCUGAAUCAGUGUGUGUGUUAGUGGAAGCGUCUGGAAAGGCGUGCGAUACAGGGUGACAGCCCCGUACACAAAAAUGCACAUAUUGUGAGCUCGAUGAGUAGGGCGGGACACGUGGUAUCCUGUCUGAAUAUGGGGGGACCAUCCUCCAAGGCUAAAUACUCCUGACUGACCGAUAGUGAACCAGUACCGUGAGGGAAAGGCGAAAAGAACCCCGGCGAGGGGAGUGAAAAAGAACCUGAAACCGUGUACGUACAAGCAGUGGGAGCCUCUUAAUGGGGUGACUGCGUACCUUUUGUAUAAUGGGUCAGCGACUUAUAUUCUGUAGCAAGGUUAACCGAAUAGGGGAGCCGAAGGGAAACCGAGUCUUAACUGGGCGUUAAGUUGCAGGGUAUAGACCCGAAACCCGGUGAUCUAGCCAUGGGCAGGUUGAAGGUUGGGUAACACUAACUGGAGGACCGAACCGACUAAUGUUGAAAAAUUAGCGGAUGACUUGUGGCUGGGGGUGAAAGGCCAAUCAAACCGGGAGAUAGCUGGUUCUCCCCGAAAGCUAUUUAGGUAGCGCCUCGUGAAUUCAUCUCCGGGGGUAGAGCACUGUUUCGGCAAGGGGGUCAUCCCGACUUACCAACCCGAUGCAAACUGCGAAUACCGGAGAAUGUUAUCACGGGAGACACACGGCGGGUGCUAACGUCCGUCGUGAAGAGGGAAACAACCCAGACCGCCAGCUAAGGUCCCAAAGUCAUGGUUAAGUGGGAAACGAUGUGGGAAGGCCCAGACAGCCAGGAUGUUGGCUUAGAAGCAGCCAUCAUUUAAAGAAAGCGUAAUAGCUCACUGGUCGAGUCGGCCUGCGCGGAAGAUGUAACGGGGCUAAACCAUGCACCGAAGCUGCGGCAGCGACACUAUGUGUUGUUGGGUAGGGGAGCGUUCUGUAAGCCUGUGAAGGUGGCCUGUGAGGGUUGCUGGAGGUAUCAGAAGUGCGAAUGCUGACAUAAGUAACGAUAAAGCGGGUGAAAAGCCCGCUCGCCGGAAGACCAAGGGUUCCUGUCCAACGUUAAUCGGGGCAGGGUGAGUCGACCCCUAAGGCGAGGCCGAAAGGCGUAGUCGAUGGGAAACAGGUUAAUAUUCCUGUACUUGGUGUUACUGCGAAGGGGGGACGGAGAAGGCUAUGUUGGCCGGGCGACGGUUGUCCCGGUUUAAGCGUGUAGGCUGGUUUUCCAGGCAAAUCCGGAAAACCAAGGCUGAGGCGUGAUGACGAGGCACUACGGUGCUGAAGCGACAAAUGCCCUGCUUCCAGGAAAAGCCUCUAAGCAUCAGGUAACAUCAAAUCGUACCCCAAACCGACACAGGUGGUCAGGUAGAGAAUACCAAGGCGCUUGAGAGAACUCGGGUGAAGGAACUAGGCAAAAUGGUGCCGUAACUUCGGGAGAAGGCACGCUGAUAUGUAGGUGAAGCGACUUGCUCGUGGAGCUGAAAUCAGUCGAAGAUACCAGCUGGCUGCAACUGUUUAUUAAAAACACAGCACUGUGCAAACACGAAAGUGGACGUAUACGGUGUGACGCCUGCCCGGUGCCGGAAGGUUAAUUGAUGGGGUUAGCGGUAACGCGAAGCUCUUGAUCGAAGCCCCGGUAAACGGCGGCCGUAACUAUAACGGUCCUAAGGUAGCGAAAUUCCUUGUCGGGUAAGUUCCGACCUGCACGAAUGGCGUAAUGAUGGCCAGGCUGUCUCCACCCGAGACUCAGUGAAAUUGAACUCGCUGUGAAGAUGCAGUGUACCCGCGGCAAGACGGAAAGACCCCGUGAACCUUUACUAUAGCUUGACACUGAACAUUGAGCCUUGAUGUGUAGGAUAGGUGGGAGGCUUUGAAGUGUGGACGCCAGUCUGCAUGGAGCCGACCUUGAAAUACCACCCUUUAAUGUUUGAUGUUCUAACGUUGGCCCGUAAUCCGGGUUGCGGACAGUGUCUGGUGGGUAGUUUGACUGGGGCGGUCUCCUCCUAAAGAGUAACGGAGGAGCACGAAGGUUGGCUAAUCCUGGUCGGACAUCAGGAGGUUAGUGCAAUGGCAUAAGCCAGCUUGACUGCGAGCGUGACGGCGCGAGCAGGUGCGAAAGCAGGUCAUAGUGAUCCGGUGGUUCUGAAUGGAAGGGCCAUCGCUCAACGGAUAAAAGGUACUCCGGGGAUAACAGGCUGAUACCGCCCAAGAGUUCAUAUCGACGGCGGUGUUUGGCACCUCGAUGUCGGCUCAUCACAUCCUGGGGCUGAAGUAGGUCCCAAGGGUAUGGCUGUUCGCCAUUUAAAGUGGUACGCGAGCUGGGUUUAGAACGUCGUGAGACAGUUCGGUCCCUAUCUGCCGUGGGCGCUGGAGAACUGAGGGGGGCUGCUCCUAGUACGAGAGGACCGGAGUGGACGCAUCACUGGUGUUCGGGUUGUCAUGCCAAUGGCACUGCCCGGUAGCUAAAUGCGGAAGAGAUAAGUGCUGAAAGCAUCUAAGCACGAAACUUGCCCCGAGAUGAGUUCUCCCUGACUCCUUGAGGGUCCUGAAGGAACGUUGAAGACGACGACGUUGAUAGGCCGGGUGUGUAAGCGCAGCGAUGCGUUGAGCUAACCGGUACUAAUGAACCGUGAGGCUUAACCUUACAACGCCGAAGAUGUUUUG
rnacentral:rRNA from 1 species